rnacentral:lncRNA from 1 species
AGAGCCGGGCUGUGCCGCUGCCCCCGGGACUAGAAAGGGAAAUCUCCUUGCUAGAGGAGGAAGCCCUAAGAACUCAAGGGAGAUAGGGGUGGCAGGGGCAUUUCCCUGGAUGCCUGGAGCAUGGAGGGUGCGAAAUAAGGAGGCUUUCCUACCCCAUUGAUGAGCUGAAGUUGAUUCCGCACGGGGGAGGAAAGGGACAGGAAGCAUAAUUGGAUGUGCAAGCCUGUGGUUCUUCAGGAAGUUAACACGUGGAACUAACACUGUUGGAUGCUGCUGAACUCUCAGGUGAUUGAUGUGACUAACCUCCUCAGAGAGAUCCACUCCAUUAACGUUAUCUGGAAGUCAUUGGAAAAAUCAUCAUUGACAUCCAACACCAGCACUGGAAUGUUCAUCAGAGCCUCAAAGUGGAGCCUAUAAGAAGCGUGAACGUUUGGGGGACAGAAAAAAAGAAAUGUAACUUGAGUCAAGUUUCACAUACUCGCCAAGUCUUACUCAGAGAACAGAUCUAAAUUCAACAUGACUUUUCAAAGAAACUGCAUGUAAACUGCAUUUAAAAAAACAAAUUCAAUAAAGUUGGCCGGAAACAG